AACGCACCUUGCGCUCCUUGGUAUUCCUUGGAGCAUGCCUGUUUGAGUAUCAUGAAAUCUUCAAAGUAAAUCUUUUGUUAAUUCAAUUGGUUCUACUUUGGUAUUGGAGGUCAUUGCAGUUUCACACCUGCUCCUCUUUGUGCAUUAGCUGGAUCUCAGUGUUAUGCUUGGUUCCACUCAGCGUGAUAAGUAUCUAUCGCUGAGGACACUGUAACAGGUGGCCAAGGUAAAUGCAGAUGAACCGCUUCUAAUAGUCCAUUGACUUGGACAAUACUUUUAUGAUCUGAUCUCAAAUCAGGUAGGACUACCCGCUGAACUUAA
rnacentral:misc_RNA from 1 species